UUGAAUUCUUUAUACUAAUCUAUUAUUUUGUCGAAUUUAUCACAACGCACAAAACACAGAUAAAAAGCUUUCACAUAUUGCAACAAAUUGCAAAAACACUUAAAAUACACCACCUUGCAAUAAUAAAAAGUACUAUUUUUCAAUUAUAUAUGCUGGUUAUGCACACUACCAAAAAAAAAAAAAAAACAAAUUUUAUUUGUAUCGUUCGCGAACCGACCAUGAAUUCAGUGAAUAAUUUUAUGACCAGCACAAAGGCAAUCAACGUAAAACCUAAGGAAAAUGAAAACAAAAUAUACAGCAAAUAAACAGAGAUAACAGCAAGCGAACGUCUACAAAAACAAGCUAUUUAUUUCCCUUUUGCUUGGUCAAUAGUUCGCUGGUUAGAAGAAUGCAGCUACUUUUUAGGAAAAUACUGAAUGUCAAAUUGCAAACUGUUGCCAUAUGUAUAGUUGCACAGAGAUGCCAGCAAACACAGAAAUAUAAAUAAAAUAUUUUAAAUUGUAAUAGUCUGGCAAGUCAAUGGAAAAUCUUAUUUGACCAUAUGUUCGUAGAUGCUGAUAUUUACUUUAUUUUGGUGUCAUUAAACUUUUUUGACCGCAUUUAUUUACUUUUGUUGAUCUUCGACCUUAUCACACGACUGAUUUGAUAAACUACGAAUUAUGACUGCGCACAUCACUGUACAAAAUGAGCUGGAUUAGUGUGCGAGAAGGAGACGAAGCGAGUUGCUGGUUGGACUUACUUCAGAGUUGCAUAUCGUGUAGAGAGUGUGUUCAGGCAGUGGUGAAUUUGAGAAAUGUCAAAAUGCGCAACCGUUUUGUAAAGCUCAUGUGUUGAACGAAUUUCACCAUGUCGAUACGUACUAAGUAUGUAAUCUAAUAAGAAUCCAUGCAUUGCUCCUUAAAGCAGGUCAGAUGAAAUGCGUUCUUUAGAUGAUAAUAGCUGAUGAUGAACUUUCGCUAGUAUGCGGGAAAAUUAGUUUGAAGCAAAGUUUGUAUAAAUUGGCUUUAGGAAAUUAGCUUUUAAUAUAAAAUUUAAAUUAAA